AUGCCACAUGCUGACCAACAACAAGAACUUCAAAAUCCUUCCACUGAUCCAUUUUAUUACGAGGAGGAGUAUGUUGGAGUAGAUGAUGAACAUCUAGUAGGUGUUAGCAUUCCUGAACCUACUGUAGUGCAAGCACCGGCUACAACUCCUGAUGAGAAAGCUGAAGACGAGGAGGCCGAAGAUGAUAUGUAUAUCUCUGAUAUUAAGCAUCUUAUCCAGCAGGAGGAAGAGGUUACUGACAUGCCUAUUCAGUACAAUGUGGCAACUGAUCCUUAUAAUGCUGACAUUAAAGUGGGGGUUCUUUUUCCUGACAUUGUAACCUUUAGGAAAGCAAUAAGACAUCAUGCUGUCGUAAAGGACUUUGAGCUUGCUAAAGUGAAGACUGAUCCUACUAGAUUCAUCGCUAAUUGCUCAUAUGCUAGUUGUCUUUGGCGCAUCCACGCAUCGAGGUUGCGUGAUCAACAAGUUGUCAUGAUAAAGAAGAUUCCCUAUGAGCACAAUUGCCCUACUACAAAGCUUGUAGACAGCAAAAUGGCAACACAAAGUUGGAUUGCAGAGAAGCUUGUUGAUUGGGUGAAGAAAAACCCAGGAGAGGGAGCAAAGGCAGCGAAAACUAAGUUGGAGGGUGAGUUCAACUUCAAGCUGAAGUAUUCCAAGGCUUGGGAAGGUAUGAAGAUAGCUCUAGAAGAAAUGCAUGGUAAAUAUGAGGAUAGUUUUCAGUUGUUGUUCAAUUGGAAACAGAGAUAG
rnacentral:rRNA from 1 species